GUACCCUACAUGACCGUCCGUCCACGAGACCCACCCGGACAAACAAGACCGGACACGCGAAGACCAGACCUGGGAAUCCAUUUUAAUGCAGUGUACCCUACAUGACCGUCCGUCCACGAGACCCACCCGGACAAACAAGACCGGACACGCGAAGACCAGACCUGGGAAUCCAUUUUAAUGCACGACCGGUUAACACGACCGGCUGAAACCUCGCCCUGUCUUCGCGAAACGUGUAUAGCCUGAG
rnacentral:lncRNA from 1 species